rfam:Schistosoma rodhaini strain Burundi genome assembly, scaffold: SROB_scaffold0002299
GCACUGCUGAGGAGUCCCAUAAUAGGACGAAACUGCCGUCCAGUGC